rnacentral:rRNA from 1 species
AGAUUGAACGCUGGCGGCAUGCUUUACACAUGCAAGUCGAACGGUAACAGGCCGCAAGGUGCUGACGAGUGGCGAACGGGUGAGUAAUGCAUCGGAACGUGCCCAGUCGUGGGGGAUAACGCAGCGAAAGCUGUGCUAAUACCGCAUACGAUCUAUGGAUGAAAGCGGGGGACCAAAGGCCUCGCGCGAUUGGAGCGGCCGAUGUCAGAUUAGCUAGUUGGUGGGGUAAAGGCCCACCAAGGCGACGAUCUGUAGCUGGUCUGAGAGGACGACCAGCCACACUGGAACUGAGACACGGUCCAGACUCCUACGGGAGCAGCAGUGGGGAAUUUGGACAAUGGGCG